rnacentral:sRNA from 1 species
CAUACUUGAAAUUUGAAGGAGAGAAUACUCCGAUCCAAUCGCCGUCACUCGCAUGCGGAGCUGCGAAAUCAACAGUUACCCAGGCAUGUGUACCUACCUUGACACCGAGAAGCCGAGGCGACGCUUGCACGGAAGCCGCGGCGUCGAUGCCGACCGUCGCGCGGUGGAUGCCGAUCAGCGACAGCGGCUGCUCGCCG